CGAGGAUGUCACCACCAGCCAGCUUGAUGAAUUGGCCACUGCUUUUACCGCCAAUCACCCCAAUUCUGUUAGAUUUUUUUAUUUUUAUUUUUUUGCCCGGAUUACAGUUCCUUUUUUUUCCUUGUAUGUAUGUUUCAACGAUACUUUACUGUCAUUUCUGCAGUUUUCAUGGGAUUGAUAAUUGAAGAUAACAGGGUUUGUUUCACUUUAUGAUUUGUUUGAACAUUUGUUUUGUACAGUUGGCUGAAAGGAUUGUUGUUUCAAAUCUGCAUAAGAACACAAAGAAAUCAUUUUCAGAGACAAUCAAAGAUAUGCACAAUCAUUUUAAUGAGAGAUCUGGGCUGAAGCCUCCUUGGAUUGCAGCUGAUGUUUAUGAAAUAAUCAUGAAGAAUGCUCGUUUGGAUAGUGAAAUCAUCUAUGACUGGGAUGUUGACUAUGAUUACUUUGGUUUCAAAACACUUGAGGACAUCAACUACCAUGGUAGAGACUGCAAAAAGGUCAAACUUAUGUCAUAGACCCUUUGGGAUUGGAGAUCAGGGUCUUGCAGAUACCUUCAUUUUGCAUGGCAUGGCAUUUGAUUCGCCAGAGGCCCAACAGCUUAACAAAGACAUAUUUGAAAUAUGCCACCAUGCUCUAAAGGAUUCUGGUGGGUUGGCUGUGAAAGAAGGCCCCAGUGAGAUUUAUGAUGGAUGUCCAGUGAGUAAGGUAUGAUGUGUUGAUAAGAACUUCUAUGCAACUGCACGGGAGCUCAGUGACUGCUUAUAUAUGAGUGUUCUGUUCAUAUGUUGCACUGCCUUUUGUUUUAGGUAUGAACUAUCUUCUUUCAGCUGGUCCCAUUUCUUCCAUCCCCAUGAUGUAUCUUCAAGGAUAUGGUUAUCCUUAGAUUUAUUUUUACUACAGCAGGAUAUAAAGUUUUCCCUUCUAAAAAAGCCAAAAAGUUUUGCAGUCAUCCAUGUUAUAAUUGAGACUACUAGCUGGCUGCUUAGAUAUCUAUUGGAUUAGCAGAGAAUUCUCCAACCUAUUCCCACUGCUUUAACCAAGCCAAAUUCUUGGAAACAAUGAGUCUCUGAGCUCUAUACUUACAAUAGUCUUUAUCUGUGGUGAAUUUGUUGUGGCAAACAAACAUCUCAUUCAUGACUUAACUGAGAUGGGUAUGUGGUCUCCUACUCUGGAGAACAAGAUAAUUUAUGAGGAUGGCUCUGUUCUAAAAAUUUCUGAAAUUCCUGAGGAAUUGAAAGUUAUCUAUAAGUGUGUAUUUAUCAUUUGUUUCUUGUCUUCCUUUUUCCCUGCAUUUUUUACUCCUUUCUGUGUUCAUAAAGCAAUGGACAUGACCCAGAAACAGAUCGAAUUGAAAGCUAAUCUGUGAUGGUCAAUUGAAAAUUCAGUUGUAGUUCCUCACAGUGAUUUUGUCAAUAGUGACUAUGGCCUAAACCUCACUGAAUGUAAGCAUUUACGCCCAUAAACCUACUCUUUCUCUAGCCCAUCAAUUUUUUGUUUAACUCAAUUUUGUU